rnacentral:rRNA from 1 species
CUCGUAGGCGGUUCGUCGCGUCCGGUGUGAAAGUCCAUCGCUUAACGGUGGAUCCGCGCCGGGUACGGGCGGGCUUGAAUGCGGUAGGGGAGACUGGAAUUCCCGGUGUAACGGUGGAAUGUGUAGAUAUCGGGAAGAACACCAAUGGCGAAGGCAGGUCUCUGGGCCGUUACUGACGCUGAGGAGCGAAAGCGUGGGGAGCGAACA